GUGCUCACUUUGGCAGCACGUAUACUAAAAUUGGAACGAUACAGAGAAGAUUAGCA
rnacentral:snRNA from 1 species